rnacentral:misc_RNA from 1 species
UACGGAGGGUGCGCGCGUUUAUCGGAAUAACUGGGCGUUCAGCGCGCGUAGGUGAUUGAGUCAGUCAGAUGUGAAAGCCCCGGGCUUAACCUGGGAACUGCACCUGAUACUACUUGACUAGAGUACUGUAGAGGGCAGUGGAAUUUCCUGUGUAGCGGUGAAAUGCGUAGAUAUAGGAAGGAACACCAGUGGCGAAGGCGACUGCCUGGACUGAUACUGACACUGAGGUGCGAAAGCGUGGGUAGCAAACAGG